rnacentral:rRNA from 1 species
AUUGAACGCUGGCGGCAGGCCUAACACAUGCAAGUCGAACGAGUGGCGGACGGGUGCGUAAUGUCUGGGAAACUGCCUGAUGGAGGGGGAUAACUACUGGAAACGGUAGCUAAUACCGCAUAACAUCAGAUGUGCCCAGAUGGGAUUAGCUAGUUGGUGGGGUAACGGCGUACCAAGGCGACGAUCCCUAGCUGGUCUGAGAGGAUGACCAGCCACACUGGAAAUGAGACACGGUCCAGACUCCUCCGGGAGGCAGCAGUGGGGAAUAUUGCACAAUGGGCGAAAGCCUGAUGCAGCCAUGCCGCGUGUAUGAAGAAGGCCUUCGGGUUGUAAAGUACUUUCAGCGGGGAGGCGUUACCCGCAGAAGAAGCACCGGCUAACUCCGUGCCAGCCGCCGCGGUAAUUC